rnacentral:snoRNA from 11 species
GUGCAGACAGUUAUCCCUUACUGAGCUGAUGUGCUCUCUGAGGGAGUCAGUCUGCUACAGGAACUUUCAGGUUUGGGCAUCUGUAGUCGGCCACUUGCUGAGCUACAGCUCACCUGAACACAGUG